AACUUUCGAUGGUAGGAUAGAGGCCUACCAUGGUGGUAACGGGUAACGGGGUGUUAGGGCACGACACCGGAGAGGGAGCCUGAGAAACGGCUACCACAUCCAAGGAUGGCAGCAGGCGCGCAAAUUACCCAAUCCCGACACGGGGAGGUAGUGACAAUAAAUAACAAUACAGGGUUCUUUCGGAUCUUGUAAUUGGAAUGAGUACAAUUUAAAUCUCUUAACGAGGAACAAUUGGAGGGCAAGUCUGGUGCCAGCAGCCGCGGUAAUUCCAGCUCCAAUAGCGUAUAUUAAAGUUGCUGCAGUUAAAAAGCUCGUAGUUGAAUUUCGGGACCACUAUGUCGGCCGUGCUUCGGUACGUACUGUCAUUAUUGGUUUCUCCCUUCUGAAGAACCUUGAUGUCAUUAAUUUGGUGUCUUGGGGAAUCAGGACUGUUACUUUGAAAAAAUUAGAGUGUUUAAAGCAGGCUCGCGCUUGAAUACAUUAGCAUGGAAUAAUGAAAUGGGACGUUUGAUUCUAUUUUGUUGGUUUCUAGGAUCGACGUAAUGAUUAAUAGGGAUAGUUGGGGGCAUUAGUAUUCAAUUGUCAGAGGUGAAAUUCUUGGAUUUAUUGAAGACUAACUACUGCGAAAGCAUUUGCCAAGGACGUUUUCAUUAAUCAAGAACGAAAGUUAGGGGAUCGAAGACGAUCAGAUANCGUCGUAGUCUUAACCAUAAAUUAUGCCGACUAGGGAUCGGAUGAUGUUAAUUUUUUAAUGACUCAUUCGGCGCCUUACGGGAAACCAAAGUGUUUGGGUUC
rnacentral:rRNA from 1 species